rnacentral:lncRNA from 1 species
GCAACUCUCCUGCCUCAGCCUCCCGAGUAGCUGGGAUUACAGUGAACACUAGCUGCAGUUUUGUUUUCAUACCUGGACAGAGCAUAAAUCCUGCCAUGAACACAGCAAAGAUCAUUCAGAAAGUGAAGAGGAAGGAGAAACAACGGUUCAUGUUAAACUUGAGAUGCUAAUCUUGAAAUGCCACCCGUUCUCUUCUGAUUAGAUUACAUGCAGAAUAAAACAUGCAGGCAAUCUCAAACCUCUCCUCUCAGACGUUUCUGAUUCUUAUUGUGUGCCUCUCUGGGAAGAUACAGAUAGCAUCGAAUAAUCUCUCUGAGGGAAUUAGUUGCUGUUUCCUCUUUCCUGUUUUGAACAAAUUUUCUUUAAUGCAUUGUGUGAGUACACAUGUAGAACAUAUUCUUUGACAUCACAUAAAUAUUUACACAAUAUUUAAAACUCACUGUCAUGAAGUAUUUAUUUCACUUGCAAACAUUAUCAUCUAUUGUUCUAUGGAAAAUUACAAAAUAAAAGGCACGGCUGCUUU